rnacentral:lncRNA from 1 species
GCACUUGAGAGCGCUCGGCUGGGUGUCUGCUGUGGCGCCGCGGCGGGAAUGUGCGGGGGCCACGGCCCGGCUCCGCACGUCUCAGCCCGGAGCAGGCAGAACCCUCCCUCUGCCUCUGCUAGCAAGCGUCCUGCCCCGAGUCCAGUAAGGGAGAGAGGUCUGCGGGGCAGGCGAGGCCGACCUUUUGUUUGUUUGAGGAGUUUCGUGUUUCAGACAUUUAGAGUGAGCAAACUGCGAGGGAGGAAGAAGGGCUUGUCCUCCCUGCAAGCGUUUCUUUCUCCUAGCAAAGCCUCCAGGCCCAGCUUCCACAUUUUGCAGUUGACUGUGUGGGAUCUUCAUAGGUUCAUCCCUCAUUCUCAGGCCCAAUCCAUGCACGCUGUGCAGCCAGAGAGAAUGAGAGCACAUCCUCUGCCAUUUUCAGCCGGUUGCUGCCGGCAGCCCAGCCCCCUUUCCUUGGCUGUGGCUGCCGCCGGAGUUCCGGCGCCCAGAAGCGGCCCCCGGUCCGCCCGGCCCCGGAUCCAGUCCACUUUUGCCGAUUGCCGUCCUGCCCGGCUUGGUGAUAAGAACUCUCCUGUGAGAGCCAGCGAACGAGACUUUAGUCCGGUUUCCAUGUCAACGAU